AUUGAACGCUGGCGGAAUGCUUUACACAUGCAAGUCGAACGGUAGAGGGGGCAACCCCUCGAGAGUGGCGAACGGGUGAGUAAUAUAUCGGAACGUGCCUAGUCGUGGGGGAUAACGUAGCGAAAGUUACGCUAAUACCGCAUACGAUCUAUGGAUGAAAGCGGGGGAUCGCAAGACCUCGCGCGAUUGGAGCGGCCGGUAUCAGAUUAGGUAGUUGGUGGGGUAAAGGCUCACCAAGCCAACGAUCUGUAGCAGGUCUGAGAGGACGACCAGCCACACUGGAACUGAGACACGGUCCAGACUCCUACGGGAGGCAGCAGUGGGGAAUUUUGGACAAUGGAGGAAAGUCUGAUCCAGCCAUUCCGCGUGCAGGAUGAAGGCCCUCGGGUUGUAAGCUGCUUUUGUACGGAACGAAAAGGUCUCUCUUAAUACGGGGGGCUCAGGACGGUACCGUAAGAAUAAGCACCGGCUAACUACGUGCCAGCAGCCGCCGUAA
rnacentral:rRNA from 1 species